rnacentral:rRNA from 1 species
AUGGCUACAGGUGGGACACUGUUGUACAAAACUUGCAAAUACGAUUGCCAGCAACUCAUGGCAUUUACUUGUAAGGACACAAAGGCUGGAAUUGGGAGCCCCAUUAUUGCUGCUGAUGGAAAAUUCAUAGGCAUGAGCUUUUUUUAUAAGGAUGGAGCUCCUUUCUUACCAAUCACUAUCCUCCAGAAAUGCUUAAAGCACUUCAAUGAAUUUGGGAGAGUUCUGCAGCCAUGGCAUGGUCUGAGGACUGGAUCACUUCAAGCUGAAAAACUGUGUGUCCGUGAAGAAGUACAUGACAGCUUCCCCCAUGCACAUGGCAUUUAA